rnacentral:rRNA from 1 species
AGUCAAACGGAUAGAAAUAUUCGAAUAAGCAAUUAUGAGUGGUUUAGGAUAGAAGAAGAAUUUGUUACUAUUUAGUUUUGAGUGGCUAACACUCAAGG